CGCCGUAGGCCAACGUGGGCGGAGCCUCCGGCUCCAGGGGCGGGGCGGCCGGAGGAGCACGCGAGCAUGCAGGCCCCCGGGGGCCGCGCCGGGGCGCCCCGCGUGUCUAUUAUCCUCCCGGUCUACAAUGCUGAACCGUGGCUGGACGAGUGCUUGAAGUCUGUUUUGCAACAGGACUUUGAAGGCUCCAUGGAGCUCUCGGUUUUUAAUGAUGCUAGUAAGGACAAGUCUAUGACUAUCAUUGAGAAAUGGAAAGUGAAGCUGGAAGAUUCUGGUAUCUUCGUGGUCAUUGGGGGGCAUGAUUCUCCUUCACCCCGAGGAGUCGGAUAUUCUAAAAAUCAAGCAAUAGCACAGAGCUCGGGGUCUUAUCUUUGCUUUUUGGAUUCGGACGACGUUAUGAUGCCUCAGAGGGUGAGGCUGCAACUGGAAGCUGCUGCCCAGCACCCGACAAGUAUUAUAGGUUGCCAAGUGAGGAGAGACCCCCCCAACUCCACCGAGCGGUACACAAGGUGGAUCAACCAGCUAGCGCCAGACCAGCUUCUCACCCAGGUUUUUACCUCCAAUGGCCCAACUGUGGUCAUGCCCACCUGGUUCUGCUCUCGAGCAUGGUUUUCCCACGUGGGCUCAUUUGACGAGGGUGGGCAGGGUGUGCCUGAGGACCUGCUCUUCUUCUACGACCACCUCAGAAAGGGCGGCGGGGUCGUCCGCGUGGACCAGUGUCUCCUGCUCUACCGCUACCUCCCCAGCGCGGCCACACACUCUGUCCUCGAGAGCACCAUCUGGACCCACCGCGUCCACUUCCUGGAAGAACGGGCGCUGCCGCGCUGGGCCGCCUUCACCAUCUGGAACGCGGGCAGGCAGGGCCGCCGGCUCUAUCGCAGCCUGACAGCCAGGGCGCAGCGCAAGGUGGUUGCCUUCUGUGACGUGGAUGAGAACAAGAUCAGGAAAGGCUUCUACUGUCACGAAGACUCUCAGGAAAGGCCCAAGCCCCGGAUUCCGAUCCUGCACUUCCGAGCCGCACGGCCGCCCUUCGUCAUCUGCGUGAAGCUGGACCUCACGGGGGGCGCCUUUGAGGACAACCUGAGGUCGCUGCACCUGCAGGAAGGCCAGGACUUCCUCCACUUCAGCUGACGGCUCGGACGGCUGCUCCCAGCUCCAGGAACCCCAGGGCUCAAACCCGGGUCGAGAGCAAAUCCCGUCGGCCACGGGCGACCAGGGAGCUUUCCACCGCGGGUGAGGGAGCCGGCUCCCCUUUGCCUCAGGACCCGAGCGAGGCCGUCCGUGGGCCGGGUCACCGGGACUUCUGCCGGAGGUGGCGAUGACCCAGGGCCAGAGCCUGCGCCCAGAGCUCACACGAGCGAGGCCGGGAUCCCGGGCCCACGGGGUCAGCAUGAGAAGCGGCGCUGUGUUCUGAGUGCGGGAGGACCAGCAUCUUCUAGAAACGUGGAUGAUCAUGCUGCCUACUUUGUGCUACUCUGGUCUGUUUCCAAAUUCUACUUACACAGUAGCCGUUACCCGUUCUGUGCACCCGGCACUCAGUCGCUCACUGUCUGCUGACCAGGCUUCCGCGCAGAGACACUCGGCUGCCCACACGUUCCCACCAGAGCAGUGGCUCCGGGGUGUCCCCGCCGUCCCCUUUUGUCCUCAUUCACGCUACUGCCGAGGGCACCACCACCCAGGGUCCCGGCUUGGCGUCAACGCCUUACUCCAAGCGGCAGCACCUGCUCACAGGGACCCGGACGUGGCCGUGUGCGCAGCGUGGCCCCCGCCACCCCCUCCCCGACUCGUUCAUUCCAGGCACACUGGCCCCCGGCUCCCCGGGCUGACCAGGUGCUCUCCCCCGCGGGGCACCCGCCCACUGUCCCUUUGGAGGGCUUCCCAGCCACUUCUGUCCACCACAGUCCAGCGCCCUGCCCAUCGCAUGUGGCUCCGGGCCUCGGUGCUGCUGACGGGGCCGGUCACGUCUGCUCCUAGCCCCACUCCUAAGCUGGGCCUGAGGGGUCGCACACAGCGGGUGAACGUCCCCACGUGGCAGCGGUGCGGCCCAGGCAGGGAAACCGCUCCUGGGGACGGAAGCAGCAGCCAGCACCCGCCCCUGGCACGGCUACCACCUUCGUCUCUGCGUCCAGCAGCAUCUGCACGCCAGCCUGGCGGAGGCGCCUGCCCCGGGUCCCGGGAGGAGGCACCCUGCUGGCAGUGAGCGGGCGCACUGCGGUUGGUGCUCCCCCACGUCGCCGGAGAACCCAGUACCCUAGAACACACGCUCGCUGGGCUGUCGGCUCGCGGGAGGUGCCGGUCCCCACGCGUGCCUCCGUCGGGUCCCUGACUGGCUACUCAAGACUCUCCUGCGGGGCCCCGCCGGCCUCAGGCAGGGCGCCUGCGUCGCACACUGCGUGAGGGUGGGCGACCACGUGCAACGUCCACACGCACCGGGUACAACGGGGUGAGGCAGAGGGAAGGUAGCGCCCCACCACUUAGCAGCUUCUCUGGCCCUCCCUCUGCCCCCCAGUCCCGCACAUCAGCAUCACACACAGACACAGUACUGCUCAGAACAUGAUUUUAUAGACGGGGUCCUGUGGACGUGAAGACAGAAGCACCAACGUCCCAGGACACGUGUGAGGAAAAGCCCCCACCGUGGGGGGACCCUGAAGUCCCCGGCACCGCAUCCAGUUGUCCCGUGCUGACCGUCCUCAGGCUCCUCCCCAUGGGCAGGGGGCCUCAGCGGGUGCCAGACUGUGGGGACACAGCGCAGGGUCAGACCACCAGCACCACCCCCUCUAGGCCUCCAUUUCCCCAGACACCCAGGACCCCCGAGGCCGACAUAACCUCGAGGCGCUGGGGGGGGGGGGGGGGAGGUCCCUGGUACUUUUCCACAAUCAUCAUCCACUGUGUGGGAAAUUUUCCUAAUAAAAGCAUAAAAAGUGUA